rnacentral:rRNA from 1 species
AGGAUGAAUGCUGGCGGCGCGCCUAACACAUGCAAGUCGAGCGGUAAGGCCCUUAGGGGUACACGAGCGGCGGACGGCUGAGUAACGCGUGGGAACAUGCCCCAAAGUGAGGAAUAACUGCCCGAAAGGGUAGCUAAUGCCGCAUAUGAUCUUAGGAUUAAAGGAUUUAUCCGCUUUGGGAGUGGCCUGCGUACGAUUAGAUAGUUGGUGAGGUAAAGGCUCACCAAGUCUACGAUCGUUAACUGUUCUGAGAGGAUGAUCAGUCAGACUGGAACUGAGACACGGUCCAGACUCCUACGGGAGGCAGCAGUGAGGAAUCUUCCACAAUGGGC